rnacentral:rRNA from 1 species
GUGUCAGCAGCCGCGGUAAGACGAACCGUGCAAACGUUGUUCGGAAUCACUGGGCUUAAAGGGCGCGUAGGCGGCAGACCAAGUCCGGGGUGAAAUCUUUCGGCUUAACCGGAAAAGGGCCUUGGAUACUGGUUUGCUAGAGGGAGGUAGGGGUCUGUGGAACUUCUGGUGGAGCGGUGAAAUGCGUUGAUAUCAGAAGGAACGCCGGUGGCGAAAGCGACGGACUGGAUCUCUUCUGACGCUGAUGCGCGAAAGCCAGGGGAGCAAACGGGAUUAGAUACCCCUGUAGUCC